rnacentral:misc_RNA from 1 species
UCCUAGCCCCGAUCGCAGCAUUUGUUUGAGCUCAUUUCUUUGGUUUCGGCGGCGGCAAAGCCGCCGCCGAAACCAAAGAAAUAGCGAGUGCGGAGAGCGGGAAAUGGC